rnacentral:lncRNA from 1 species
CCCGGGGCGGCGUGGCCUGCCGGGGGAGGGCGGCCGGGCCUGCCCGGCGCGGGGGUGCGGCGCUGUGAGGUGAUGCCCCCACAGGGCGGCUUCCCGCCUGCCGUUGGUGGCCACCGUUCCCCGUUGCGCAGCCGCCCUGGGCAGGCAGCGGGCCAGCGAGACGCGGGGUUCAUGCCUUUUUUUUUUUUUCCUGCUGAGUGAGAAGCCAAGAGAAGGCCCGAAGGGUUUGGGGAGGAGAUUUCCUGCCUGUGUUUGCGUGUGAAUAAUUCAGGUUUUGUCUACUCCGGAAGGCUCUUUGUACAGCUGGAGAGCUGGUGCUUUGCAGCAUCAGAGCCACGACGCAAGGGCCCUGGGACAGAGAUUCUGCUUAGUCCUUUCAUGCUGUGGAGCAGAAGGGAGACCGGCCCCACCGCCAGCGCCCUGUCAAGGGGCUGCUAACAAAUACUGCUGUGCUAGUGGUAAUGGCUGUCAUAACUAAGUGCAGCAGGAGCAACUGAUUUCUAAAUCAUGGAUGAUUUGAGCAUUGCUCAGGGUUUGGGCACUGUUAAAAGUGCAAGGUGUUUUCCCUUCUUGCAGUCAGGAAGUUCUGUCGUUACACCCAGCUCCUGCAGCCCAGGAAACUUGGAAAAAAUGCAGUUGUGCCAGGAAAAAGAUCGUUGUAAUGGAAUAGCUGAAACAAUGCCAGCAAGGACGUACAGCUUUACCUGUCCCAGAGGAGUUACAUAG